rnacentral:lncRNA from 1 species
AUCAACACAAGUACUACUCAUGCACAAAACAUGCAUAUAUUGGUAUACAAAAAGCAAUUUUACACAAUACUGUUUACCAAAAAUUUUUUCUUAAAAAACAGCCCUUCCACGUAGGAUCAAAGGUCCAAUCUGGACUGGAUUGCACUAAUAUGUUCAGGUCAACGCUUCGGUGGCAUAGCGCUCAGUGAGCAAUUCUGGGAUUGGAGUCAUGCCCAAGGGUUACUUCAUUAAUAGUGAAUGUCUCUGUGCCCAAGGACCAAAAUUUUAUCCCAAAACUAAAUCCUCCAAGGAAUGAAAGGUUGGACUGGCUACAAAUUAGGGAAGGAAAAGAAGGCAUCUAAAUGUUGGAUAAACGGCCCUAGAAGGGGUUAUUAGGAACAGGGCCUAGGCACCAAGUGUGGCAAAAGUUUUCGUGAAUCCUUUUAAGGUCCGUAUCGAGGCUGCUAUCUCUGGAUUUAAGGUUUGGCCUCCAAGUCAUGAGUCUAGUAACAGUUCUGAGAAUAAAACCGAAUGGGGAUACAUCUGAGAAAUGUAGACUACAUAAAAAACUAUAGAAUACAAUGACUGCCCCUCAUACCUACUGCACACUAUUGUAUGUGGUGCCCCUCAACAGGAAAACCCUCAUGGAGACACUGCCCUGAAGACUCAAGGAACAAAUAUAAAUCCAAAAAUUCCAUCCACCUGACCUUGGGAUCAAAAGAUCUCAUCCCAAUAAAACUUGAACAUCAAAACCUGUACCUUGCCGGAUGCUCAGAAAGUUUAAAAUAAAAAACAGCUGGUACCACAAAACUCACUAUCACCACCAUUAAAACCUCAAUAUGUACUUCUAACUAGCAAAACAUUCUUUACCUUCCAUUAAAGGCACUAGCAUCCAUACGUGAAGAUGAAACAAUAAUUUACCUUGGUUUUAUAUUUUUUAAAAAAGCAUUCCAUUAAAGUAUUACACAAAAAUGAAAACACCUUUUUAAUUUCGGCAACUAGGGAGAAGAAAAAAACACACACACAAACUUUCUACACCAAUGAUGUCACUCAAACCGUCGUCAUCAGUUUCAAAGAGCCAGACCGAAAGCGGAGGAUCUUCUUCUUGAGGUUAUGUGAGGCCUUAAUUUUGACAAAGGUUUUUGCGGGGUGGUUGUGAAGGUCUGGGGCCGUUACCGUUUGAAUGGGCAGAGUCUGGACAAACUGGGACCAAAUUAAGCCCCCGCUUUCUUCAGAGUCGCUGGUGGUUGUGCUCUCCCCCACGAACUCGCCCUCGCUCACACUCGACUCGCUGUCCCCGAAGCAGUUGGUGGUGUAAUUGCUCUGCUCGUCCUCACUGGUGUCCACCACGGUGGAGUGGAACAGGGACUCGCACUCGGCCGAGUACUCGGAGUCGCUAGCCACGUAGGCGUAGGGGCUGGCGUAGGGCAGAGGCACAGGCGCGGGGUACAGCCCCACAUUCUCCCGGCGACCGCGCCGGGCCCUCCUCAGGGCCUCUUCGUAGGAAAUCUCGGCCGAGGACUUCCACCGCCGGUAGUCAGUUCGCUUGUGCUUAGGUUUGGCCACCACCGCCUCCCGUCCGUGGCCAUGUGCCCUGCUCCCCGCCCUGUGGCCCCCGCCCGCGGGCCUGCCGGGAAGACCAGCCUCGGGCCCGCCCCCACUCUUCCUCCCCUUGGAGGAGGCUUUCUUGAGUUUCUUAUUUGUAUCCAAGUCAUCUGGGAAGCGACACUUCUUGCUCCCGGCCCGCGUUUUCUCCCUGACGGUGGGCAAGCCGUUCUCCAGCCCCUGGAGGGCUGGGCCGCGGUGCUUCAGGCUGGAGUUCUUCGCGACGCCCAUGUUCCUGUGGCCCCGGUGGAGCCUGACACUGGGCUGCUGCCCCGGGAUGAACUGGGCCUUGACCAGGUGCGCUUCCUCCAGGCUUUGGGAAGAGCCCUCACUCUUGAAAUCCAAGGCAGGCCUCUCUUCCACGGGGAAAGCUGGAGACAGCAGGGGAGGAGUGGCCGGGGGGACGCCCUGCAGGCUGUUUUUCUGUGACAUCUUUUUCAGGGGCUGUACAACUUUGUUCUCCUGCGGCGGGGCAGGGCCUCUGCUAGGACUCUCUUUUGGAGAGGCCCCUGAGAGCUGAGCGCUUUCCUUAGGGGACUCCCCUGUCCCAAUGGCGGAACACCGAGCAUGUUCUUGCGAGGCUGGCUUGGCCGUUUUUGGCAGGUGCUUACUCUGAAGGUCGGAGGCAGCGCCUGAGGGGCAGCCCUCUGGCAGGGGCGACCUCUUGCUUUCGGCUUGUUCGGCCUUUGAUUCUUUCGACCACUGCUUCGGUGGGGAGAAUGUCCCAUUGUUCAGAGAAGGUAUCCCGCCAGAGGGCAGACACGCCUGUUUCGAAUUCUUCAGGUUCACACUGCUGCCCUGUGAGACACCGCCCGGGGCUCUGACACAAACGCUCCCGUUCCUCAGAAGCCCUUUCGUGGGGUCAGCGUUCACGCUGGUUCUCGGUUUGUUGGUCCUUACAGGGUGUGUUUUUUUCUGGACCAGGCUCAGAAUGUAGCCAUCCAUUUUCUUGCUGGACGAAGGAUGGGAAGCAGACCACAGACUGCUUGGGGACGGUAUUCCGGAAGCAGUUGAAAGUGAUCGCCUACUGCUCCCUUCUGUUGCCAACGGAAUCUCACUUCCCCCUACUGUUUUGAUUUUUCUUUCCCUUUCUUUUUAAAGCAGGUGCUGGUACUUCUUCCUCCACUAGUGCUAUUUCAUUAUCUCCUUUCUAAUGUUGUUCAGCCCUAGUUGGUUCUUUUGCUUUCCCUGGACACGCCUGUCUUCUCAGAAAAACUGUUAAUUGACACUCAGAAAGUGUACCACUAACGAUGGGGUGGACCUGCUGCCUGGAUGAUCUGGAGAGUAAGAUAAAGUUGCCAGCAUGAAAAAGAGUCUUGGCUGAAUAUAUUACAGUAGUGUUAACUUAUGCUUGAAGAUCUUUCCUGGGCAGAGCCAGAACAUGUCCCUCAUAUCACACAGUCUGAUGCUUUGUCCUUAGGCAGAACAGCUCCUAACAGCACCCCCACCAAAGUCUGAGCAUCAUUCUACAAAUGCCUUGUCCAGCAGUGAACAUUCUAUUGCAGCCAAGCAAAGUAAGGAGCAUCAGUUGCACAUUUUGCCAUCAAGCAAAGCAACAAAAUGAUGCCUUGCAGCUUUUAUGGCCAAACAAACACAAAUGAUGUAAUUGGGAAAAGCUGUCUCCGAAUAGGAGGAAAAGAGUAAAGGGCAAUCCUUUGAGCUGGAGUGAUGACCACCAUUCGAGGGGCUGGGAUCAAAGCCCCAGCCAGACAUCAAAGCCCAUUUGAGUCUAAUGCCAAAAAAGCCACAGUGAAUUAAACUUCAUAUAUAAACUAAUUAUAGCUUGACCCCACAAUCAGGCUUCAGUGAGCACACAGGGGAAAGAAAGCAGACAUUGAAACAAAAGAUCAAGAAAAAAGAAGCGUGGUAGCAAAAUGGGGCAACAUCAUGGCCCUGAAAAUUUUAAACAUCUUUUGAGGGCAGAAGGGAAUAGGGGAAUAGCAGAAGAAACAGCAAAUGUUUGACAAUGCUGGUCUUGUUUGAAAGGCUAUGAAACAACUCCUUCCAUCCUCUCUGGUGCACAACUAAACACUACCAAAUAAAC